rnacentral:rRNA from 1 species
UGGAGCAUGUGGUUUAAUUCGAAGCAACGCGAAGAACCUUACCUGGCCUUGACAUGCUGAGAACUUUCCAGGAGAUGGAUUGGUGCUUCGGGAACUCAGACACAGGUGCUGCGUGGCUGUCGUCAGCUCGUGUCGUGAGAUGUUGGGUUAAGUCCCGUAACGAGCGCAACCCUUGUCCUUAGUUACCAGCACGUAAUGGUGGGCACUCUAAGGAGACUGCCGGUGACAAACCGGAGGAAGGUGGGGAUGACGUCAAGUCAUCAUGGCCCUUACGGCCAGGGCUACACACGUGCUACAAUGGUCGGUACAGAGGGUUGCCAAGCCGCGAGGUGGAGCUAAUCUCACAAAACCGAUCGUAGUCCGGAUCGCAGUCUGCAACUCGACUGCGUGAAGUCGGAAUCGCUAGUAAUCGUGAAUCAGAAUGUCACGGUGAAUACGUUCCCGGGCCUU